UGAGUAGGCGGUAAUAUGUGUCAGAUGUAAAAGGCUAUGGCUUAACCAUAGUUAGCAUUUGAAACUGUAUUACUUGAGUGCAGGAGAGGUAAGUGGAAUUCCUAGUGUAGCGGUGAAAUGCGUAGAUAUUAGGAGGAACACCAGUGGCGAAGGCGACUUACUGGACUGUAACUGACGCUGAGUCACGAAAGCGUGGGUAGCAAACA
rnacentral:rRNA from 1 species